UACGUAGGAGGCAAGCGUUGUCCGGAAUUACUGGGCGUAAAGCGCGUGUAGGUGGUGGGACAAGUCUGCUGUGAAAGCGCCUGGCUUAACCGGGCGAGGUCGGCGGAAACUGUCCGACUCGAGGACGGUAGAGGGGGGUGGAAUUUCCGGUGGAGCGGUGAAAUGCGUAGAGAUCGGAAAGAACACCAACGGCGAAAGCACUCUGCUGGGCCGACACUGACACUGAGAGACGAAAGCUAGGGGAGCGAAUGGG
rnacentral:rRNA from 1 species